rnacentral:rRNA from 1 species
AACGAACGCUGGCGGCAGGCCUAACACAUGCAAGUCGAGCGAGAACUUCGGUUCUAGCGGCGGACGGGUUAGUAACGCGUGGGAAUAUGCCCUUCACUACGGAAUAGUCCCGGGAAACUGGGUUUAAUACCGUAUACGCCCUUCGGGGGAAAGAUUUAUCGGUGAAGGAUUAGCCCGCGUUGGAUUAGGUAGUUGGUGGGGUAAUGGCCUACCAAGCCGACGAUCCAUAGCUGGUUUGAGAGGAUGAUCAGCAACACUGGGACUGAGACACGGCCCAGACUCCUACGGGAGGCAGCAGUGGGGAAUCUUAGACAAUGGGGGCAACCCUGAUCUAGCCAUGCCGCGUGAGUGAAGAAGGUCUUCGGAUUGUAAAGCACUUUAAGUUGGGAGGAAGGGCAGUAAACGAAUACCUUGCUGUUUUGACGUUACCGACAGAAUAAGCACCGGCUAACUCUGUGCCAGCAGCCGCAGUAAUAC